rnacentral:rRNA from 1 species
UACGUAGGGGGCGAGCGUUGUCCGGAUUUAUUGGGCGUAAAAGGCUUGUAGGUGGCCACGUCAAGUCGGAUGUGAAAUCUCCCGGCUCAACUGGGAGGGUCAUUCGAUACUGGCGGGCUCGAGGCCGGUAGGGGGAAGCGGAAUUCCCGGUGUAGUGGUGGAAUGCGUAGAUAUCGGGAGGAACACCAGUGGCGAAGGCGGCUUCCUGGACCGGUUCUGACACUGAGGAGC